GACUCUCGGCAACGGAUAUCUCGGCUCUCGCAUCGAUGAAGAACGUAGCGAAAAUGCGAUACUUGGUGUGAAUUGCAGAAUCCCGUGAACCAUCGAGUCUUUGAACGCAAGUUGCGCCCGAGGCCUCCUGGUCGAGGGCACGUCUGCCUGGGUGUCA
rnacentral:rRNA from 1 species